AUGCAAGUCGAGCGAACAGAUAAGGAGCUUGCUCCUUUGACGUUAGCGGCGGACGGGUGAGUAACACGUGGGUAACCUACCUAUAAGACUGGGAUAACUUCGGGAAACCGGAGCUAAUACCGGAUAACAUUUGGAACCGCAUGGUUCUAAAGUGAAAGAUGGUUUUGCUAUCACUUAUAGAUGGACCCGCGCCGUAUUAGCUAGUUGGUAAGGUAACGGCUUACCAAGGCGACGAUACGUAGCCGACCUGAGAGGGUGAUCGGCCACACUGGAACUGAGACACGGUCCAGACUCCUACGGGAGGCAGCAGUAGGGAAUCUUCCGCAAUGGGCGAAAGCCUGACGGAGCAACGCCGCGUGAGUGAUGAAGGGUUUCGGCUCGUAAAACUCUGUUAUUAGGGAAGAACAAACGUGUAAGUAACUGUGCACGUCUUGACGGUACCUAAUCAGAAAGCCACGGCUAACUACGUGCCAGCAGCCGCGGUAAUACGUAGGUGGCAAGCGUUAUCCGGAAUUAUUGGGCGUAAAGCGCGCGUAGGCGGUUUCUUAAGUCUGAUGUGAAAGCCCACGGCUCAACCGUGGAGGGUCAUUGGAAACUGGGAAACUUGAGUGCAGAAGAGGAAAGUGGAAUUCCAUGUGUAGCGGUGAAAUGCGCAGAGAUAUGGAGGAACACCAGUGGCGAAGGCGACUUUCUGGUCUGUAACUGACGCUGAUGUGCGAAAGCGUGGGGAUCAAACAGGAUUAGAUACCCUGGUAGUCCACGCCGUAAACGAUGAGUGCUAAGUGUUAGGGGGUUUCCGCCCCUUAGUGCUGCAGCUAACGCAUUAAGCACUCCGCCUGGGGAGUACGACCGCAAGGUUGAAACUCAAAGGAAUUGACGGGGACCCGCACAAGCGGUGGAGCAUGUGGUUUAAU
rnacentral:rRNA from 1 species